CUCAGUGUAGGACAACACUGAUUAAACACACUGGGAAAGAUCAUCUUCUAUGAAGACAAGAACUUCCAGGGCUGCUCCUAUGAGUGCACUAGCGACUGUGCUGACCUGCACUCUUCUUUCAGUCGCUGUAACUCUGUUCGGGUUGAAAGUGGAAACUGAAUGGUAUAUGAGCAGCCACACUUUAUGGGUUACCAGUACUUUCUGCACCAAGGCGAAUAUGCUGACUACCAAUGUUGGAUGGGUUUCAAUGAUUGUGUCAGAUCCUGUCGAAUUAUACCCCAACACCAGGGAUCCUACAAAAUGAUGAUCUAUGAACUGAGACCUGGCGAAUACAGGAGGUACAGCGACUGGGGUGCCAUGAUUACCUUGUGAAACUGAAAGGCAAGAAAUAGAUCUGGAAUGAAAUAACCUAUGCAAAGAACCUUUUCUUUUCUGAUAUUACUAUUGGAAAAUAAAUUACAACAUAAUUUAUAGAAACAUUUACGGCAGUCAGUUUUUGGAAAACAGUGGCAGUUGGUUCUUACUCCAAUCUACUUUAAGUCAGAUGUGACCCCAAUUAGGUAGGCUGAUAUUAUUUUCUGUCCUCUACAUUUAACACAAAGCUGUGUGACAUUCUAUUGUACUUUACCACUUUUGUUAUGUUUUGUCAUAAUGUACUUUCACUCUGCCUAUAUUUGACGUCAAGAAACUGCGAAUUAUUUUUGUUUACACAUCAAAAAAAAAAGUGAACUUUACAUCUGGGUAUCUGGGUGUGUUGACCACUUAAAACAGCCUGUUCUCAUUUCUCAUUCAUGAUCAAAUAAAGCAGAGGCUACAAACCAAAUUGCUAUAUUAUUUACAGCAGUUUCCAAAGCAACACAUCCAAAACAACUCCUCUAUCACAAAACCAAGGAC